AAGACAAAUAGUACUCGUUGAAUUUUUAUCUUUUUUUUAAGUUUGCUGAUUUUUCAGGAAGACUAAACUAAUUGCUUUCUAACAGCUUGUAUUUUUUUUUUUAUAUAAAAAGAGAUUAAGUCAUGAAAAUGGCCAUGUUCGUGAGGUCACUGCGGCUGCGACACCGCGGCCUGCAACCAGCAACUAGUCUUAGAUCGCAUUUUGUAUUCAUUUUACUGUCACUUGACUGGUCGCUUUAUCAGUCAAAAGUCUUAUUUCAUAUAGUUAAAAAAUUAGUGACUAAAUAUAAAAAAAAAAAUUUUCUUGAUAAUCUAAAUAUAAAAUUUUCAAUGACCUGCAACUAGUCGCGCAAGAUUCUUCGACAAUCAAACAAACAAACAUUUGGUAACAGGUCGCAGUUGGCCAAUAUAUUUAUAUUCUAGAAAUAAACUGAAAUAAUCCAAAAAUAAAUAAUACCAACGAGUAAAAGGAAAACCCAUGGAUCGUGUUUGACACGAAUGACAAUUGUUAGGAUAAAACAAUAUAAGGUUCUUAGAGCAUCCGCAACGCGGAGAUUUCAUGAAUCCUUAGCACAUUAAUCUAGGAUGAUCUCAAUAAAAAAAUAUUAACAAGGCUGAGAUCAGUAAGGAACAUUCCGUAAAUAAGGUGUUUAAAGACUGAGUCCUUAGUGACGUGGCAACUUCAUGCACUCUUUCCUUCUCCUUCCUCCUUUCUUUUCGUUUUCCACUGAGGCCACCGAUCUCCGCCGGAGACUCUCUCUGAUUAUCCGCUCCCUCCUGUAUCUCUCUGAUUGACAGAUUUGAUUUCGUCUCUUCCUUAUUUCUUCCAAAACCCUCAAUUUUUUUCAAUUUGGGAGUAAAUCAAAGAUCUCUCUUUGUUGAUGGGCACUGCGGAGGUUUCUGAAUCUCCGGCGGAGAUAAUGAAGCGGUUAAUGUGGAUUUUGAUGACAAGCUCAGUUGGGAAUAUCUGUUCAAGGUAUAUUGGCUUUGCCUGAAGGAAGAGCUUUCUCUAACUGUCGACGAGCUUACUAGAGCAAAUAAUCCUUGGAAGGAGGUUCCCUACACUAUUAACAAACCUUAUUCUUCAGACAAUUCAGCUUUAGAUGUAGCAGUGAAUGGAACAAAAAGAAGAAGGACUAGUGAUUCCCCCAGCUUGAUGAUAUCAACAAACUCCACGAGAAGGUGGUAGGCACAAUUUUGAGGAUUAAGGUAUCUGGGGGCAACCAGAAGCUGGAUAUUCACAGGCGCUUAAUCGACUUAUGUUUCUUUGUUCAUUGCUUUAGCGAGCGAGGGAGCUGAUGUGAGAGCUUUGUUUGAGCUCAUACUUUUUUUUUCCAAAAAAUUCUUAAAUGGAAUACACUAUUGGACACACAUU